rnacentral:rRNA from 1 species
CAAUAGCGUAUAUUAAAGUUGUUGCAGUUAAAAAGCUCGUAGUUGGAUUUCCGGCGUGAGGGAUCAGUCUGACUUCUAGUCAGUACUUGGUCCUCUCAUGCCGUCCUUGAAUGGUGCAUCCUGGCAUUAAGUUGUCGGGGUGAGAGCCGUUCAUCGUUUACUGUGAGAAAAUUAGAGUGUUCAAAGCAGGCUUAUGCCGUUGAAUAUAUUAGCAUGGAAUAAUAGAAUAGGACUUUGGUUCUAUUUUGUUGGUUUCUAGGACCGAAGUAAUGAUUAAUAGGGACAGUUGGGGGCAUUUUUAUUCCAUUGUCAGAGGUGAAAUUCUUGGAUUAACGGAAGAAAAACUACUGCGAAAGCAUCUGCCAAGGAUGUUUUCAUUGAUCAAGAACGAAAGUUAGGGGAUCGAAGACGAUCAGAUACCAU